rnacentral:rRNA from 1 species
UUACCAGACUCCUACGGGAGGCAGCAGUGAGGAAUAUUGGUCAAUGGCCGAGAGGCUGAACCAGCCAAGUCGCGUGAGGGAAGAAUGUCCUAUGGCUUGUAAACCUCUUUUGUCAGGGAGCAAAGUCACCCACGUGUGGGUGUUGGAGAGUACCUGAAGAAAAAGCAUCGGCUAACUCCGUGCCAGCAGCCGCGGUAAUACGGAGGAUGCGAGCGUUAUCCGGAUUUAUUGGGUUUAAAGGGUGCGUAGGCGGGAUGCCAAGUCAGCGGUAAAAAUGCGGUGCUCAACGCCGUCGAGCCGUUGAAACUGGCGUUCUUGAGUGGGCGAGAAGUAUGCGGAAUGCGUGGUGUAGCGGUGAAAUGCAUAGAUAUCACGCAGAACUCCGAUUGCGAAGGCAGCAUACCGGCGCCCUACUGACGCUGAGGCACGAAAGCGUGGGUAUCGAACAGGAUUAGAUACCCGAGUA